AGUCGAACGAGUUCUGAUUAUUGAAAGGUGCUUGCAUCUUGAUUUAAUUUUGAACGAGUGGCGGACGGGUGAGUAACACGUGGGUAACCUGCCCUUAAGUGGGGGAUAACAUUUGGAAACAGAUGCUAAUACCGCAUAAAUCCAAGAACCGCAUGGUUCUUGGCUGAAAGAUGGCGUAAGCUAUCGCUUUUGGAUGGACCCGCGGCGUAUUAGCUAGUUGGUGAGGUAACGGCUCACCAAGGCAAUGAUACGUAGCCGAACUGAGAGGUUGAUCGGCCACAUUGGGACUGAGACACGGCCCAAACUCCUACGGGAGGCAGCAGUAGGGAAUCUUCCACAAUGGACGCAAGUCUGAUGGAGCAACGCCGCGUGAGUGAAGAAGGCUUUCGGGUCGUAAAACUCUGUUGUUGGAGAAGAAUGGUCGGCAGAGUAACUGUUGUCGGCGUGACGGUAUCCAACCAGAAAGCCACGGCUAACUACGUGCCAGCAGCCGCGGUAAUACGUAGGUGGCAAGCGUUAUCCGGAUUUAUUGGGCGUAAAGCGAGCGCAGGCGGUUUUUUAAGUCUGAUGUGAAAGCCCUCGGCUUAACCGAGGAAGUGCAUCGGAAACUGGGAAACUUGAGUGCAGAAGAGGACAGUGGAACUCCAUGUGUAGCGGUGAAAUGCGUAGAUAUAUGGAAGAACACCAGUGGCGAAGGCGGCUGUCUGGUCUGUAACUGACGCUGAGGCUCGAAAGCAUGGGUAGCGAACAGGAUUAGAUACCCUGGUAGUCCAUGCCGUAAACGAUGAAUGCUAGGUGUUGGAGGGUUUCCGCCCUUCAGUGCCGCAGCUAACGCAUUAAGCAUUCCGCCUGGGGAGUACGACCGCAAGGUUGAAACUCAAAGGAAUUGACGGGGGCCCGCACAAGCGGUGGAGCAUGUGGUUUAAUUCGAAGCAACGCGAAGAACCUUACCAGGUCUUGACAUCUUUUGAUCACCUGAGAGAUCAGGUUUCCCCUUCGGGGGCAAAAUGACAGGUGGUGCAUGGUUGUCGUCAGCUCGUGUCGUGAGAUGUUGGGUUAAGUCCCGCAACGAGCGCAACCCUUAUGACUAGUUGCCAGCAUUUAGUUGGGCACUCUAGUAAGACUGCCGGUGACAAACCGGAGGAAGGUGGGGAUGACGUCAAAUCAUCAUGCCCCUUAUGACCUGGGCUACACACGUGCUACAAUGGAUGGUACAACGAGUUGCGAGACCGCGAGGUCAAGCUAAUCUCUUAAAGCCAUUCUCAGUUCGGACUGUAGGCUGCAACUCGCCUACACGAAGUCGGAAUCGCUAGUAAUCGCGGAUCAGCACGCCGCGGUGAAUACGUUCCCGGGCCUUGUACACACCGCCCGUCACACCAUGAGAGUUUGUAACACCCGAAGCCGGUGGCGUAACCCUUUUAGGGAGCGAGCCGUCUAAGGUG
rnacentral:rRNA from 2 species